UAGGGAAUCUUCCGCAAUGGGCGAAAGCCUGACGGAGCAACGCCGCGUGAGUGAUGAAGGUCUUCGGAUCGUAAAACUCUGUUAUUAGGGAAGAACAAAUGUGUAAGUAACUAUGCACGUCUUGACGGUACCUAAUCAGAAAGCCACGGCUAACUACGUGCCAGCAGCCGUGGUAAUACGUAGGUGGCAAGCGUUAUCCGGAAUUAUUGGGCGUAAAGCGCGCGUAGGCGGGUUUUUAAGUCUGAUGUGAAAGCCCACGGCUAAACCGUGAAGGGUCAUUGGAAACUGGAAAACUUGAGUGCAGAAGAGGGAAGUGGAAUUCCAUGUGUAGCGGUGAAAUGCGCAGAGAUAUGGAGGAACACCAGUGGCGAAGGCGACUUUCUGGUCUGUAACUGACGCUGAUGUGCGAAAGCGUGGGGAUCAAACAGG
rnacentral:rRNA from 1 species